GAAAAUAUAUUAAAUAUAUAUUUUUUAAUUUAUUAUUACAUUUACAUUUUACAUUUCCCAUUUCCCCUCCUUAUUUUCCCGACCCCGUUUAGACUUCAGAUACAAAUCCCUAAUCCCUUCCCUUCUCCCUUUUUUUCCUCCAAAUCGAAAACUCACCUCCACCGAUCCACCAUCUCACCUUCAGUGUUCGGUCCUCCAUGACUCCACCUCUACAACUCUAGCAGAAUUUGACCAAAAUUUAAGCAUUUUACUAGGUGGCGUUGUUGUUCUCUUCAGUUCGAUUCUUCUGCAACUUCCGACCCAAACCCUUCAAAUCAACAAGUUCAAGGUAACAUGCUUCGAUUCUUCUUCACUUUAGUUUUCAUUUCAAUUGAAAUUUUCGAGCUUUACAUUUUAAUCAUGUACUUAAGAGAAGGCCGCUCUUUAUUGCUGAGUUUAGUGACGGUGACAUGCUUCGAUUUUUAACUAUUUGUUGCCAUGUUUUCCACCAAGAAUGCAUUGAUCAUUGGCUUGAAUCACUUAAAAGAUGCCCAGUUUGUCGUUAAGAGUUAGAUGUGACUAGUAAAUCAAUAGUAAAUCCCUCAAAUCUCUAAAAUCUCAAGUUUUACAGGUUAGAACAUUUCCCCCUUUUUUGUAAUAUUCUUUACUUUUUAUUGAUUCUUUUGUUUCAAUUUCCUGUUAUGAGUGUUUUAUUGAUUGUUUUAUUAUGUUUGUUUUGAUCUGAUCUUAUCGUUUUGGUGAUUGUUGUUGAACAGGUGAUCGGGGAUUUUGAUCUCAAAGAGUUCAUCAUGUUUAAUCGACAGUUCAGGAAACCUAAGCAGGAAACAAAUGCUCUAACCACGUUAGAAAAAUUAAACGAGGUGUAGUAUUUGAUUUUCUUUUAUUUUUUCACUUUAAUUGGCAAACCAGUUAUUUAUUUUUGUAUUUCUCUUGCUUUGUUUGAGUUCAAAAACUUUUGCAAUAAAUGUAACAGUUUUUUGCAAUAUAUGGAAUUCAUUUGUUAUACUUAAAGAACAACUUAUCUAGUAUUGUUAUUUAGUUGAAGAGAAGGGUUUCAAAGAUAAAAGGAAUGAAUAUCUUUUUGAUCGUGUAUACAUAUUCCUUGCUGAUCUCGCUAAAAGUUGAUGCUAUGAUGGACUGUGAUCUUUUCUGUAUUUAAAAGUUUGGUUAUAUUGGUUGUGUAUUAGGGAUAAUUUCAAAAUUUUAAGAAUAUUAAUUUUAGUGAUUUUUAUUUCGUCUGGUGCUACAAAAUGCAAAUUGCAGUCUAUAUUCGUUUCCACUGAAUGACUUACAUUGCUUCUUUCUACUUUUUUUUUAUUUUUUUAAUUUUAAAAUAUUUUUAAAAUACUUUUUUAAAAUUUUUGGUAUUUAUUAAAAAAUGGGCCGGGCUGGGCUGGGCUGGGCUUAUGAUUUUUUCCUGGGUCGGGCCUGGGCAAAAUUUUAGGCCCAUAUUUCGGUUCGGGCCGGGUCCGGGCCAAAAAUUUUCACUGGGCCCGGCUCCAAACCCAGCCCGGCCCAUGAGCACCUCUACUCCACAAUUCACUUACGUCUAAAUUUUAUAGGAAUUUGAUAUGAGAAAUCUAUUCGUUAAGCAUGUAUAAUUAGGAGUGUGUCGUUAAAACCAAUUUAACCGAUUAAAUCAAACUAAUUCAAUUAAUCGGUUGAUUAAUUGAUCUAAUUCGGGAUAGAAGUCAAUUAAUAAUUGUUUAAAAGUUUAGUUAACAGUUAAUUCGGUUCAAAAUCAAUUAAUUAACUAAAAUUAAUAAUUAAUAUUAUAUAUUAACCAGCUGGCCACUACCCAUCCAGACCUAGGCCCCAAACAUUAACCCACUUUCAAAUAAAUCCAAUCAACUAAAAAUAAACUCAAACACUAACCCAAGCCCCAAAUAUAAAAUUUUAAUUCCUCCUAAACCUAAAAAUAAUGCACACGGUAAUACAUCGACCACUAGAUCCCAAAAUCUCACAGAUUCAAAAAUCCCUAACCCUAAUAAAAAAUCCCUAAUUUAAAAUCUCCAAAGUCUCAAAAUCCCCACUGUUAGUCACCACCAUCCGACGUCCACCAGUCACACCAUUCGGCAUACACCA
rnacentral:lncRNA from 1 species